GCGGCGCUGGAGGCCGAGGAGCUGGGCGGGCUGCUGUCCCGCUCGACGGACCUGGACGCGCUGGGGUGGCGGUUCCAGCGCCGCGCGGCGCGC
rnacentral:tRNA from 1 species